rnacentral:rRNA from 1 species
UACGGGGGGGGGCAAGCGUUGUUCGGAAUUACUGGGCGUAAAGGGCGCGUAGGCGGCGUAACAAGUCACUUGUGAAAUCUCCGGGCUUAACUCGGAGCGGUCAAGUGAUACUGUUGUGCUAGAGUGCGGAAGGGGCUACUGGAAUUCUCGGUGUAGCGGUGAAAUGCGUAGAUAUCGAGAGGAACACCUGCGGCGAAGGCGGGUUGCUGGGCUGACACUGACGCUGAUGCGCGAAAGCCAGGGGAGCGAACGGG